rnacentral:tmRNA from 1 species
GGGGGCGUACCGGUUUCGACGGGGAGCAGUUGAGCCGCGGGCAGCGUGUCGUGGUCCGCCGCCACGUUAAUCAAGCGGAAAACAACACCUGCCAACACUGAGCUGGCACUGGCUGCUUGAUGUAGCCACGGCGUGAUCGCCGGUCCUCGCCCGUGGGCCUGAUCACGACGACGCAAAACGGGCUGGAUCGCUGUCGUGCCCCACGGCAGCGGUCGAGAUCAAACGGGGCUGGCCGCGCGGCGGGUGCCCAUUCCAAACCGCGAUGGCGAGAAUAAACGUGGGAUGCACACGGAGACACCUGCGGCUCAGGUUCUUCGGACGGGGGUUCGAUUCCCCCCGCCUCCACCA